rnacentral:rRNA from 1 species
UAAAAACCCCGACUUCGGAAGGGGUGUAUUUAUUAGAUACAAAACCAAUGCCCUUCGGGGCUCUUUGGUGAUUCAUGAUAACUAUACGAAUCGCACGGCCUUGCGCCGGCGAUGGUUCAUUCAAAUUUCUUCCCUAUCAACUUUCGAUGUUUGGGUAUUGGCCAAACAUGGUUGCAACGGGUAACGGAGGGUUAGGGCUCGACCCCGGAGAAGGAGCCUGAGAAACGGCUACUACAUCCAAGGAAGGCAGCAGGCGCGCAAAUUACCCAAUCCCGACUCGGGGAGGUAGUGACAAUAAAUACUGAUACAGGGCCCUUUCGGGCCUUGUAAUUGGAAUGAGUACAAUUUAAAUCCCUUAACGAGGAACAAUUGGAGGGCAAGUCUGGUGCCAGCAGCCGCGGUAAUUCCAGCUCCAAUAGCGUAUAUUAAAGUUGUUGUGGUUAAAAAGCUCGUAGUUGAACCUUGGGCCCGGCUGGCCGGUCCGCCUCACCGCGUGCACUGGUCCGGCCGGGCCUUUCCCUCUGUGGAACCCCAUACCCUUCACUGGGCGUGGCGGGGAAACAGGACAUUUACUUU